rnacentral:rRNA from 1 species
AACGCUAGCUACAGGCUUAACACAUGCAAGUCGAGGGGCAGCAUUUUUAUAGCAAUAUAAAAGAUGGCGACCGGCGCACGGGUGAGUAACACGUAUCCAACCUGCCGAUAACUCGGGGAUAACCCUUCGAAAGAAGGCCUAAUACCCGAUGGCAUAUCCCUUCCGCCUGGUUGGGAUAUUAAAGAACUUCGGUUAUCGAUGGGGAUGCGUUCCAUUAGCUUGUUGGCGGGGUAACGGCCCACCAAGGCUUCGAUGGAUAGGGGUUCUGAGAGGAAGGUCCCCCACAUUGGAACUGAGACACGGUCCAAACUCCUACGGGAGGCAGCAGUGAGGAAUAUUGGUCAAUGGACGAGAGUCUGAACCAGCCAAGUAGCGUGAAGGAUGAAGGUCCUAUGGAUUGUAAACUUCUUUUAUACGGGAAUAAAGUGCAGUAUGCAUACUGUUUUGUAUGUACCGUAUGAAUAAGGAUCGGCUAACUCCGUGCCAGCAGCCGCGGUAAUACGGAGGAUCCGAGCGUUAUCCGGAUUUAUUGGGUUUAAAGGGAGCGUAGGCGGAGGCUUAAGUCAGUUGUGAAAGUUUGCGGCUCAACCGUAAAAUUGCAGUUGAUACUGGGCCUCUUGAGUACAGUAGAGGCAGGCGGAAUUCGUGGUGUAGCGGUGAAAUGCUUAGAUAUCACGAAGAACUCCGAUUG